GUCUAAUCUAGUGGACGGAAGGCUUCUUUCAACAACUGCAACAGUUAGUCAUUCACCUCAGUAGCUUACUAGACAAAAUAGCCGAACCAAUUAAGCUCUUUAGACGCUUUAGUGUAUAUUAGCCACUGUGUUUUAAACCCACUUCUGUCGUCUAGUUAGUUAUCCGUUUUAAUGCAAUAUUUACGGUGUUGUUAUUAGUCAUCUAGCGGGCGUGUUAAGUUAGCAUUAGCCCAGCUAGCUAACAUCUCCGACCAUGAGCUCACUAAGAAAAGAGGGAAUGUGGCUGAACGUUCUUGUGAAAGAGGAAGAGGUGGAUGUCACAAUACAAAAACAAAUAGAGGGUGAGGCUGUUAUAGUGAAAGAAGAAGAGAAAGACGUUUCAGUUAAACAAGAGGAAGACGCGUUCAGAGUGAAAGAGGAGGAUGUUACUGUUAAAGAAGAGGAGGGGGAGAUGAGUCACAUUGGAAGAAGACGAGGAUGAAACUGGAUAUCUGGGCUCGGUUUCCCAAUGGCAUCCAAUGGUUCUAACGAUAAACGGGCCCAGAUUAACACUAGAGAGAGAUGUGACUAUCUUGGGUCCUCUGGGGACUCUCAACAACAUCAUGAUGCUGAAGAGGCAGAGAAGAGUCUCUCCAGAUCAGAACACCCCAAGAAACACCAGCAGAGACCCACAUUGAAGAAUCCUUACUGCUGCUCUGACUGUGAGAAGAACUGCAAAUCUAAAUCAGAACUUAAAAUCCACCAGAGAAUCCACACAGGAGAAAAAACGUAACACUGCUCUCAUUGUGGAAUGAGUUUCUCUAGAUCAUAUUCAUUGAAAACACACCUGCUAAUUCACACAGGAGAGAAAUCUUAUAUCUGUACUCAAUGUGGGUAGAGUUUUACUACAUCUUCCAAUCUGACUAAACAUCAGAAAACACACAACAGAGAAACCUUAUAGCUGUGAUCAAUGUAGGAAGAGUUGUUACAUCUGGCUAUCUGACUGUACACCAGAGAACACACACAGGAGAGAAACAUUUUAACAGUACUCAAUGUGGGAAGAGUUUUAUUUAGGCAAGCUGCCUGAAAGAACACCUAAGAACGCACACAGGAGAGAAAUCUUAACACUGCUCUGACUGCGAAAAGAGUUUUGUUGGCUUAAGUGAUUUAAAGAUCAGAGAACACACAGUAGAGUUCCCAUAUAGCUGUGAUCAAUGUGACAAGAGAUACUUUGAUGAAAGAUCUCUGAUCAAACAUCAGAAAAUACAUAGAUGAAGGAUUUGUUUUAAUAAUGUCAAAUCAAAUGUAUUUAUAUAGCCCUUCGUACAUCAGUUGAUAUCUCAAUGUGCUGUACAGAAACCCAGACUAAAACUCCAAACAGCAAGCAAUGCAGGUGUAGAAGCCCAAACCUAGGAAGAAACCUAGAGAGGAACCAGGCUAUGUGGGGUGGCCAGUCCUCUUCUGGCUGUGCCGGGUGGAGAUUAUAACAGAACAUGGCCAAGAUGUUCAAAUGUUCAUAAAUGACCAACAUGGUCAAAUAAUAAUAAUCACAGGCAGAACAAUUGAAACUGGAGGAGCAGCAGCACCGCCAGGUGGACUGGGGACAGCAAGGAGUCAUGUCAGGUAGUCCUGAGGCAUGGUCCUAGGGCUCAGGUCCUCCGAGAAAGAGAAUUAGAGAGAGCAUACUUAAAUUCACACAGGACACCGGAUAGGACAGGAGAAGUACUCCAGAUAUAACAAACUGACCCUAGCCCCGACACAAACUACUGCAGCAUAAAUACUGGAGGCUGAGACAGGAGGGGUCAGUAGACACUGUGGCCCCAUCCGAGGACACCCCCGGACAGGGCCAAACAGGAAGGAUAUAAUCCCACCCACUUUGCCAAAGCACAGCCCCCACACCACGAGGGAUAUCUUCAACCACCAACUUACCAUCCUGAGACAAGGCUGAGUAUAGCCCACAAAGAUCUCCGCCACGGCCCAACCCAGACAGGAUCACCAUAUAGGUUAAUAAUGUCACAAUGUCUGUAGUGGCUUCCUUUCGUCCUUACCAUAGCCACUGCCCAAGCCUGAAGCGGGGUUGUUUGGUACGCAUACAGUACACACUCAAGGUUUCUAAACGGCCAAACAUUCAAUGACAUCCAGGGAUAUGGUGCAACAAAAAUGCUUAUUCUUCUUAUAUCUAACAAAUAAAUGAUACUCCAAUCAACUUAAAGCAUAGAAUACUUGAUAUGGAAAACACAUAUUAUGACCUGUCUGUAUGGUCAAAAAACUAUACCGCUCCCGCAUCUAGCAAGGACUCCCUCCCCCGAAGGCCCAACUUCCUGCCUUUAUCCUAACACACUUACCACAAUACAAUGAAUAGGCAAGAGGGGGGGGGGGGCAAAAACUGAGUUACACUAACAAAUGAUUGUUUGUUGAAUGUUUUUUCAAUGACUUGAAAACAAUUUAAUUUCAACAUACUAGCAGCCUAUACACAUGGACGCAGUAUAAUAAAUUAGCCUAUAAUCAAUUUUAUUAACAAUCCUACAUCACUCCAGUAUUUUUUGACAACAUUCAAGUGCUAAUUGUCUUUAUUCCACUACUGAAGAAGCAUGUCUCAAAUCACCUCAUAUAUUCAAACAUCCAGCCUGACAAAAUAUACAUUUUAUUAUUCCAUGCCUCACCAUUAAGUUAAUUAUUGCCAAAACAUAUUAACAAAGGGGUGUACAUUUGGCUUUGAUAUUUCAUAUUUACAAUUCAUGUAACAUUUAGUAAUCAUGAUUAUUUAUGCAACCAACUGACCAUUUUUAGGUACAAUUAUAUUGACAUUGUUGUCCUGCUUUUAGAAUAUCUGGGUUCAUUCUCAGAUGUGCAAAUCCAAAUGUACUAGAGCAUGACAUUGGGGACUGGGCCCUGAUCCAACAACAUGCCUGUCGAGUGAACCCUGAAAAGAGAGAGAAGCUCCACAGUGAGGUGGAAAGUUACGAAUAUUGCAGGUUCCUCUUAAAAUCAGCCCGUGGUAAGGACAACUUGGUUGCUGAAAUUAUCAAUAGUGGGCAUUGAAAAAUGUUUUGCAUUUAGCCAGUGCGUUGCUAUGGAUCCCAAUUUCUUUUGACUGCACGUUUUUCCAUAUUGGAGAGAGUUUUGUUUGGGUUCGUUCCAAGGGGACGAGAGUUCUAGAAGAAUAACAUUGUAGAAAAAUAUAUAUAUUUAGAAAUACGUGUUCUUGUUUUUAAUUGUUGACAGCCAGUAGACACCAUGUUUAUAUUGGUGAAGCAUUGAAGUUGAUUAUAAUGUGAAAUGGAAGUUGUUUUCUUUUGGUGGUGAGCAAACUUGUCCAACAAAAAUAUAGGAUAUAUUUGUUGUCUUAAGGGGGAAAGUAGUUACAGGUUUUGGUUUUUCCAAAACCGUUAGCACGUAGGACGCACUGAAUGGUGUCACCUCGUUAGUCAGUAUGUGUUACACCUGUGCUGGCUUGUCCAUCUCGUUAGUGGGAAGGUGUUUCACCUGAGCUGGUCCAGGUUCUAUUUAUGAGUGUCUGGCCCAGUGCUCCAGUUGUCUUGAUAGAUGUGGAGAAUCAACACCUUUAGUCAAUCCACCUUUUUGGUUAAAGAUGUUUUUCAUUUCAGGUUGAAGCUUCUUUCUG
ensembl:lncRNA